rnacentral:rRNA from 1 species
UACGAAGGGGGCUAGCGUUGCUCGGAAUCACUGGGCGUAAAGGGCGCGUAGGCGGCCGAUCAAGUCAGGGGUGAAAGCCUGUGGCUCAACCACAGAAUUGCCUUUGAUACUGUUCGGCUCGAGACCGGAAGAGGUAAGUGGAACUGCGAGUGUAGAGGUGAAAUUCGUAGAUAUUCGCAAGAACACCAGUGGCGAAGGCGGCUUACUGGUCCGGUACUGACGCUGAGGCACGAAAGCGUGGGGAGCAAACAGG